UAGGGAAUCUUCCGCAAUGGGCGAAAGCUUGACGGAGCAGCGCCGCGUGAGUGAUGAAGGUCUUCGGAUCGUAAAACUCUGUUAUUAGGGAAGAACAAAUGUGUAAGUAACUAUGCACGUCUUGACGGUACAUAAUCAGAAAGCCACGGCUAACUACGUGCCAGCAGCCGCGGUAAUACGUAGGUGGCAAGCGUUAUCCGGAAUUAUUGGGCGUAAAGCGCGCGUAGGCGGUUUUUUAAGUCUGAUGUGAAAGCCCACGGCUCAACCGUGGAGGGUCAUUGGAAACUGGAAAACUUGAGUGCAGAAGAGGAAAGUGGAAUUCCAUGUGUAGCGGUGAAAUGCGCAGAGAUAUGGAGGAACACCAGUGGCGAAGGCGACUUUCUGGUCUGUAACUGACGCUGAUGUGCGAAAGCGUGGGGAUCAAACAGG
rnacentral:rRNA from 1 species